rnacentral:rRNA from 1 species
GCUACAGGCUUAACACAUGCAAGUCGAGGGGCAGCAUGGUCUUAGCUUGCUAAGGCUGAUGGCGACCGGCGCACGGGUGAGUAACACGUAUCCAACCUGCCGUCUACUCUUGGCCAGCCUUCUGAAAGGAAGAUUAAUCCAGGAUGGCAUCAUGAGUUCACAUGUCCGCAUGAUUAAAGGUAUUUUCCGGUAGACGAUGGGGAUGCGUUCCAUUAGAUAGUAGGCGGGGUAACGGCCCACCUAGUCAACGAUGGAUAGGGGUUCUGAGAGGAAGGUCCCCCACAUUGGAACUGAGACACGGUCCAAACUCCUACGGGAGGCAGCAGUGAGGAAUAUUGGUCAAUGG